rnacentral:rRNA from 1 species
UACGGAGGGUGCAAACGUUUGCUCGGAAUCAUUGGGCGUAAAGCGCACGUAGGCGGCUUGUUAAGUCGGAUGUGAAAGCCCCAGGCUCAACCUGGGAAGUGCAUUCGAGACUGGCGAGCUUGAAUAUGGAAGAGGGUCGCGGAAUUCCCGGUGUAGAGGUGAAAUUCGUAGAUAUCGGGAGGAACACCAGUGGCGAAGGCGGCGACCUGGGCCAAUGAUUGACGCUGAGGUGCGAAAGCGUGGGGAGCAAACAGG